rnacentral:rRNA from 1 species
UACGGAAGGCAGCAGUGGGGAAUAUUGCACAAUGGGCGCAAGCCUGAUGCAGCCAUGCCGCGUGUAUGAAGAAGGCCUUCGGGUUGUAAAGUACUUUCAGUCGUGAGGAAGGUGUUAAGGUUAAUAACCUUAGCAAUUGACGUUAGCGACAGAAGAAGCACCGGCUAACUCCGUGCCAGCAGCCGCGGUAAUACGGAGGGUGCGAGCGUUAAUCGGAAUUACUGGGCGUAAAGGGCACGCAGGCGGUUAAUUAAGUUGGAUGUGAAAUCCCCGGGCUUAACCUGGGAAUGGCAUUCAAGACUGGUUAGCUAGAGUCUUGUAGAGGGGGUUAGAAUUCCAUGUGUAGCGGUGAAAUGCGUAGAGAUGUGGAGGAAUACCGGUGGCGAAGGCGGCCCCUGGGACAAAGACUGACGCUCAUGUGCGAAAGCGUGGGGAGCAAA